rnacentral:lncRNA from 1 species
GACUGUGGCCUGGUCACCUGCUAGUUGGCAUCUCUUAUCGGUCUGUCUGUCUGUCUGUCUGUCUACCUAUCUUGGGAUUGGAAGCACUUUUCUCUCUUCAAACACCCCCACCCCAAUUCCUUGUUUUUGAAAGUUUUGAAAAAUAGGCACUCAUAUUUUUCUUCCUGGAGUUUUUCUUUUGGCUGCAACUGUUUUAGUCAAGACAGGAGCUCACAAUCCCUCCCAUACCCCCACCCUACUAUUACUUCAAAAUAAUUUGCAUCUCUGUGGGUUUUUUUUUUUUUUUUUUGCUUUGUUUUUGUUUGUUUUCGGCUGCUUCUCACUCUUGGAGCUAAGACGUCUUUUCAGGCUCCACCUGGGCCUGGGGUUGAGGCUUGACUUCAUAUUCUGCACUUUCUUUUUAGACCUGACUUGAAAGAUGUCUGACUGCCUCUCCCUAGGGACUCUAUCUAGGAGAUGGAUCCCUGGAAGAAGAGAGACACUCUGGCUUUUACUGUGAGAGUCUGGAUAAUAUCCAAAGGCACACAGCCUCUGGAAACUUAAAAUAAAAAGCUCAACAGCGCUUUGCAAAGACAGGGAAAAGGCUCAAACUGCAAGAUUAGGUCGACGUCUUUCAUAAUUAUUUUCUAUUAAAAACUUUCCCGGAAAUGUGUUCGUGACACCAGCCCGGAGCCUCUUUUCUAGGGAUACUGGCCAGCUCUAGUAUUGUUAUUCUCCGCAAGGAUAUUUUCCUUCUGUGGCCUUUAGAAAAAAAUGGACGACUCGACUUUCUUGUUUUGACUAACGAAACCUCUCUUGGAGAGACUGGAGUACGCAGAUCGAACCUAGAAAUUGUACUCUCCUCAAUCCGCUUAAGAGAAUCUGGCUGAUGGCUUUGGUCUGAGAGUUCAGACAUCUCUUGUGCAGCUAAGAAAGACCUCAUUUUCCAUUUGCUGGAUCCUCCUGGUUUGUCAUCCCUGAAUCCUGUAAGAAGGUCAUCAGGAGGUCCCCUGCGCUAGAAGGACCAUGUGAGUUCAUCCCAGAUGAUGGGUGGCACCAUGGUUUUAGCAGCUCACACAGUGGAGAACCACAUUCGCUCUGGAAGAGCUUGGCAACAUGUAUUUGGUAACAGAACAAGGUCAGCUUGAGCUCUAUCCUUCUGUGGCUAUACUGAACAAAAGGAGAGAGAAAGGAAGAGAGAGAGACAGAGGCAGAGACAGGCAGAGACAGGCAGACAGAGACAGAGACAGAAACAGAGAAAUGAUUCCUGAAUUAUUUUUAAAAAUUAAUUUUAAAAU